rnacentral:rRNA from 1 species
GACGAACGCUGGCGGCGUGCUUAACACAUGCAAGUCGAACGGAAAGGCCCUGCUUUUGUGGGGUGCUCGAGUGGCGAACGGGUGAGUAACACGUGAGUAACCUGCCCUUGACUUUGGGAUAACUUCAGGAAACUGGGGCUAAUACCGGAUAGGAGCUCCUGCUGCAUGGUGGGGGUUGGAAGGUUUCGGCGGUUGGGGAUGGACUCGCGGCUUAUCAGCUUGUUGGUGGGGUAGUGGCUUACCAAGGCUUUGACGGGUAGCCGGCCUGAGAGGGUGACCGGCCACAUUGGGACUGAGAUACGGCACAGACUACUACGGGAGGCAGCAGUGGGGAAUAGUGCACAAUGGGCGGAAGCCUGAUGCAGCAACGCCGCGUGCGGGAUGACGGCCUUCGGGUUGGAAACCGCUUUCGCCUGUGACGAAGCGUGAGUGACGGUAAUGGGUAAAGAAGCACCGGCUAACUACGUG